AACUUUUGGCAACGUGUCACUUGGCUCUCGCAUCGAUGAAGAACGCAGCGAAAUGCGAUAAGUAAUGUGAAUUGCAGAAUUCAGUGAAUCAUCGAAUCUUUGAACGCACCUUGCGCUCCUUGGUAUUCCGAGGAGCAUGCCUGUUUGAGUGUCAUUAAAUUCUCAACCUUAUCAGUUUAUUUCUGAUAGUGGCUUGGAUGUGGGGGGUUUCUUGCUGGCUGACGUCGGCUCCCCUUAAAUGCAUUAGCUGGUGCCCCGUGUGGACUGUCUAUUGGUGUGAUAAUUAUCUACGCCAUGGAGGUCUGCAAUAAAAUAAGGGUUUAGCACUGCUUCUAACCGUCUGUUAAUUCGGACAAUACAUGACAAUUUGACCUCAAAUCAGGUAGGACUACCCGCUGAAUUUAAGCAUAUCAAUAAGCGGAGGCU
rnacentral:misc_RNA from 1 species